rnacentral:rRNA from 1 species
AGAGUUUGAUUCUGGCUCAGAUUGAACGCUGGCGGUAUGCUUAACACAUGCAAGUCGAACGGAAACGAUACUAGCUUGCUAGUAGGCGUCGAGUGGCGGACGGGUGAGUAACGCGUAGGAAUCUGCCUGAUAGUGGGGGAUAGCCCGGAGAAAUUCGGAUUAAUACCGCAUAAUCUAUUCGUAGUAAAGUGGGGGACUUUCGAGCCUCACGCUAUCAGAUGAGCCUGCGUAAGAUUAGCUUGUUGGUAGGGUAAAAGCCUACCAAGGCGACGAUCUUUAGCUGGUCUGAGAGGAUGAUCAGCCACAUCGGGACUGAGACACGGCCCGAACUCCUACGGGAGGCAGCAGUGGGGAAUAUUGGACAAUGGGGGCAACCCUGAUCCAGCAAUACCGCGUGUGUGAAGAAGGCCUGAGGGUUGUAAAGCACUUUCAAUUGUGAAGAAAAGUUAACGGUUAAUAACCGUUAGCCUUGACGUUAACUUUAGAAGAAGCACCGGCUAACUCCGUGCCAGCAGCCGCGGUAAUACGGAGGGUGCAAGCGUUAAUCGGAAUUACUGGGCGUAAAGCGUGCGUAGGCGGUUUAUUAAGUCAGAUGUGAAAGCCCCGGGCUUAACCUGGGAACUGCAUUUGAAACUGGUAAACUAGAGUAUGGUAGAGGAAAGUGGAAUUUCUGGUGUAGCGGUGAAAUGCGUAGAUAUCAGAAGGAACAUCAAUGGCGAAGGCAGCUUUCUGGACCAAUACUGACGCUGAGGUACGAAAGCGUGGGUAGCAAACAGGAUUAGAUACCCUGGUAGUCCACGCCGUAAACGAUGAUAACUAGCCGUUGGGGGGAUUUACCCUUUAGUGGCGAAGCUAACGCGUUAAGUUAUCCGCCUGGGGAGUACGGCCGCAAGGUUAAAACUCAAAGGAAUUGACGGGGACCCGCACAAGCGGUGGAGCAUGUGGUUUAAUUCGAUGCAACGCGAAGAACCUUACCUGGUCUUGACAUCCUGCGAACUUUCUAGAAAUAGAUUGGUGCCUUCGGGAACGCAGUGACAGGUGCUGCAUGGUUGUCGUCAGCUCGUGUCGUGAGAUGUUGGGUUAAGUCCCGUAACGAGCGCAACCCCUAUCCUUAUUUGCCAGCACAUUAUGGUGGGAACUAUAAGGAGACUGCCGGUGAUAAACCGGAGGAAGGCGGGGACGACGUCAAGUCAUCAUGGCCCUUACGACCAGGGCUACACACGUGCUACAAUGGGAAGGACAAAGAGCCGCGAAGCCGCGAGGUGUAGCUAAUCUCAUAAACCUUUUCGUAGUCCGGAUUGGAGUCUGCAACUCGACUCCAUGAAGUCGGAAUCGCUAGUAAUCGUAGAUCAGAAUGCUACGGUGAAUACGUUCCCGGGUCUUGUACACACCGCCCGUCAUACCAUGGGAGUGGGUUGCACCAGAAGUGGCUAGUCUAACUUAGUGAGGACGGUCACCACGGUGUGAUUCAUGACUGGGGUAAAGUCGUAACAAGGUA